ACAACAUACGUCAUUUAGCAUUAACCUGGUUAAAAUUUUCAGUUAACUUUAGUAACAUAAGGGUAAUUUAGUCUUUUUACCAAUUACCAAAUCAUUUAAGAAAUAUUUUAAUAAUCAAGACAAAAAUAAUACCUAAAUCCAUUCUCUCUCUGAACAACCAGAUCUAGAUCUAGAUCUGACAAUCACCACCAAACCCCACCACCACCAUUUAAGAACCCUAGAACAACCCUCUUAUAACAAUCUCAAAAAUCCAUUCUCUCUCUGAACAAGCAGAUCUAGAUCUAGAUCUGACAAUCACCACCAAACCCAACCACCACCAUUUAAGAACCCUAGAACAACCCUCUUAUAACAAUCUCAAAAUUCGAUUUCUUUAAUCAUAGUUAGACGUGAAGAUGUGGGGGCUUUUGAUUAGAAGAUGAAGACGAGUAUGUUGGUGCAAGAAUUAUGUUGAAUUUAUGCGGUCAGAGGCCAUGGCCGCCGGCCGGAGCUCACACCAGCGCCGUAGUCACAUCAACAGCCGUAGCAACCACCCACAUAGUUGUAGCACCGUCGUCAUCAUCUAUUAACUACGUCGCUCACGCCAUCUCUGCAUACCAUUAACUCCAUCAUAGUUGUAACACCAUCGUCAUCAUCCAUCUCCACAUAUCAUAGUUGUCAAAAAGCCCCCCACCCUCUAAUCAACCUUGAACUUGUUUGAAAAGCAUUACAGUCUUCUAACAGAGCACGACAUGAAACAAUCAUUAGCCAACAUAUACCAUUAUGCCAUUCCAAGAAUGUGGGUAGGGGUGGGUGGGUUGGUUUAAUGUAUUUUGCCUGUGUUGAUGAGAGAUGGGGAGAAACAAAUCUGAGUUUGGAGUUAUUGGGGGAGAAAUAGAGAGAGAUGGUUUCAUGUAUUUACAACUCAUCAUCAUCAUUGUAUUUACAACUGAUAUAUAUAUUAUAUAACUAGGUUAAUGCCCGCGUUAAACGCGGGCUUCAACCAAAAA